UGGGGAAUAUUGCGCAAUGGGGGGAACCCUGGCGCAGCCAUGCCGCGUGAAUGAAGAAGGCCUUCGGGUUGUAAAGUUCUUUCGGUAUUGAGGAAGGUUGAUGUGUUAAUAGCACAUCAAAUUGACGUUAAAUACAGAAGAAGCACCGGCUAACUCCGUGCCAGCAGCCGCGGUAAUACGGAGGGUGCGAGCGUUAAUCGGAAUAACUGGGCGUAAAGGGCACGCAGGCGGUUAUUUAAGUGAGGUGUGAAAGCCCCGGGCUUAACCUGGGAAUUGCAUUUCAGACUGGGUAACUAGAGUACUUUAGGGAGGGGUAGAAUUCCACGUGUAGCGGUGAAAUGCGUAGAGAUGUGGAGGAAUACCGAAGGCGAAGGCAGCCCCUUGGGAAUGUACUGACGCUCAUGUGCGAAAGCGUGGGGAGCAAACAGGAUUAGAUACCCUGGUAGUCCACGCUGUAAACGCUGUCGAUUUGGGGGUUGGGGUUUAACUCUGGCGCCCGUAGCUAACGUGAUAAAUCGACCGCCUGGGGAGUACGGCCGCAAGGUUA
rnacentral:rRNA from 1 species